rnacentral:rRNA from 1 species
AUACGUAGGGUGCGAGCGUUGUCCGGAAUUACUGGGCGUAAAGAGCUCGUAGGUGGUUUGUCGCGUCGUCUGUGAAAUUCCGGGGCUUAACUCCGGGCGUGCAGGCGAUACGGGCAUAACUUGAGUACUGUAGGGGAGACUGGAAUUCCUGGUGUAGCGGUGAAAUGCGCAGAUAUCAGGAGGAACACCGGUGGCGAAGGCGGGUCUCUGGGCAGUAACUGACGCUGAGGAGCGAAAGAAUGGGUAGCGAACAGGAUUAGAUACCCUGGUAGUCCAUGCCGUAAACGGUGGGCGCUAGGUGUAGGGGUCUUCCACGACUUCUGUGCCGUAGCUAACGCAUUAAGCGCCCCGCCUGGGGAGUACGGCCGCAAGGCUAAAACUCAAAUGAAUUGACGGGG